CUCUCUUUUGCAGAUAAUGCUGUUGCAGUUCAGAGAGAUUUAGUGGCUUUGCAAGGUCAUAUGGCUCUAUUGUCUUCUGUACAGGAGGUGUCAACCCUUCACCUAUGGUGAUCUACAGUCUGACACACCCACUUGCCUGUGGCUGGAAGGCUGUGAUGUUGGGUGAGGGUGAAGGAGAAGUAGACAGGCAUCCUCUCUAGAGAUGAACGAGGAAAUGGAGGGAAUGGCUGCUGGAGACAAGAGAGCAGAUUGGAAGCCUAGAGCCUGGGAGCACAGCCCUGUGGAAGGCCAACGAUGCUCAGUGAAGAGUGACAACAGGCAGGUGGCAGAGGGAAUCGAGCCGUACGCAUGUCUCUGCCAGCUCCUGGGUUGGCAUGCCAUUGCAGACUGGCAAAGUGGAGCUGUGAAGACGUACCUGGCACAUGGCUAUGCUCAGAAAAUGUCAGGUGAGCUGAGGGGUGUGAUUGUCUGUGUGUGGAUCUCUCCAUAACAACCAGGCAAACGAGACAAUCCAGCUGUUCUGAGCAGUUUGACUGGAAGUGGCUUCCCAGAAAACCUCAGCAAUGGGAAAUGGGACCCAAAAAUCUAUAUGUGAACAAUUCCAGAGGUGACUCUGAAACAGCUAGAACUGGGGACUGCUGAUCCGGC
rnacentral:lncRNA from 1 species